AUGUUGAGUCUUGUUGGUCCUGUGGCUGCUGCCUCAGUCUCUAGGGCCUUGCAGGGACUCAGUCCUUCAGCAUCGCUAUUCCAUAGCUCAACUCUUACUGCAGGCCAUUCCCACAGCAGUCCAUCCUGCCAGGGACAAUGCAUCACAAGCAUCUCCUUCGUUGAAGGCAGACGCUCUCACUGGGAGCAUCAUGGCAGUCAUUAAUGCAGUGGUGGAUGUCCAGUUUGAUGGGAUACCCUAAAUGCCCUGGAAGUGCAAGGCAGGAAGACCAGGCUGAUUUUGGAGGUGGCCCAGCAUUUGGGUGAGAGCACAGUAAGGACCACUGCUGUGGGUGGUACAGAAGGCUUGGUUAGAGGCCAGAAAGUCCUGGAUUCUGGUGCAUCAAUCAAAAUUCCUGUUGGUCCUGAGACUUUGGGCAGAAUCAUGAAUGUCAUUAAGGAACCUGAUGAAAGAGGUCCCAUCAAAACCACACAGUUUGCUCCCGUUCAUGCUGAGGCUCCUGAGUUCAUGGAAAUGAGUGUUGAGCAGGAAAUUCUGGUGACUGAUAUCAAGGUCACCAGAUCUGCUAGCUCCCUAUGCCAAGGUUGGCAAAAUUUGACUUUUUGGUGGUGCUGGAGCUGGCAAGACUGUAGUGAUCAUGGAGUUAGUAGGCAAUGUUGCCAAAGCCCAUGGUGCUUACUCAGUGUUUGCUGGUGUUGGUGACAGGACCCGUGAGGGCAAUGAUUUAUUCUGUGAUCUGAUGUUAUCAGCUUAAAACAUGCCACCUCCAAGAUAGUGCUGGUAUACGUCAAAUGAUUGAACCACCUGGUGCUCGUGCCCAGGUAACUCUGACUGGACUGAUUGUGGUUGAAUACUUCACAGAUCAAGAAGGUCAAGAUGUAUUGCUAUUUAUUGAUAAAAUCUGUUGCUUCAUCCAGGCUUGUGCAGAGGUGUCUGCCUUAUCAGACGGAAUCCAUUCUGCUGUGGGCUAUCAGCCUACCCUGACCACUGACAUGAGUACUAUGCAGGAAAUAAUUACCACCACCAAGAAGGGAUCUAUCACCUCUGUACAGGCUAUCUAUGUGCCUGCUGAUGACCUGACUGACCCUGCCUCUGCUACUACUUUUGCUCAUUUGGAUGUGCUGUCCCAUGUCAUUGCUGAACUUGGCAUCUGUCCAGCUGUGGAUCCUCUAGAUUCCACCUCUUGUAUCAUAGAUCCCAACAUUGUUGGCGAUGAGCAUUAUGAUGUGGCCCAUGGGGUGCAAAAGAUCCCGCAGGACUACAAAUCCCUCCAAGGCCUCAUUGCCAUCCUGGGUAUGGAUGAACUUUCUCAGGAUGACAAAUUGACCAUGUCCUGUGCACAGAAAAUACAGUGUUACUUGUCUCAGCCAUUCCAGGUUGUUGAGGUCUUUACAGGUCAUAUGAGGAAGCUGGUACCCCUGAAGGAUACCAUCAAAGGAUUCUAGCAGAUUUUGCCAGGUGAAUAUGACCAUCUCCCAGAACAGAUCUUCUAUAGGCUAGGACCCAUUGAAGAAGCUGUGGCAAAAGCUAGCUGA